rnacentral:rRNA from 1 species
AGAGUUUGAUCCUGGCUCAGGACGAACGCUGGCGGCGUGCCUAAUACAUGCAAGUCGAACGAACUCUGGUAUUGAUUGGUGCUUGCAUCAUGAUUUACAUUUGAGUGAGUGGCGAACUGGUGAGUAACACGUGGGAAACCUGCCCAGAAGCGGGGGAUAACACCUGGAAACAGAUGCUAAUACCGCAUAACAACUUGGACCGCAUGGUCCGAGUUUGAAAGAUGGCUUCGGCUAUCACUUUUGGAUGGUCCCGCGGCGUAUUAGCUAGAUGGUGGGGUAACGGCUCACCAUGGCAAUGAUACGUAGCCGACCUGAGAGGGUAAUCGGCCACAUUGGGACUGAGACACGGCCCAAACUCCUACGGGAGGCAGCAGUAGGGAAUCUUCCACAAUGGACGAAAGUCUGAUGGAGCAACGCCGCGUGAGUGAAGAAGGGUUUCGGCUCGUAAAACUCUGUUGUUAAAGAAGAACAUAUCUGAGAGUAACUGUUCAGGUAUUGACGGUAUUUAACCAGAAAGCCACGGCUAACUACGUGCCAGCAGCCGCGGUAAUACGUAGGUGGCAAGCGUUGUCCGGAUUUAUUGGGCGUAAAGCGAGCGCAGGCGGUUUUUUAAGUCUGAUGUGAAAGCCUUCGGCUCAACCGAAGAAGUGCAUCGGAAACUGGAAAACUUGAGUGCAGAAGAGGACAGUGGAACUCCAUGUGUAGCGGUGAAAUGCGUAGAUAUAUGGAAGAACACCAGUGGCGAAGGCGGCUGUCUGGUCUGUAACUGACGCUGAGGCUCGAAAGUAUGGGUAGCAAACAGGAUUAGAUACCCUGGUAGUCCAUACCGUAAACGAUGAAUGCUAAGUGUUGGAGGGUUUCCGCCCUUCAGUGCUGCAGCUAACGCAUUAAGCAUUCCGCCUGGGGAGUACGGCCGCAAGGCUGAAACUCAAAGGAAUUGACGGGGGCCCGCACAAGCGGUGGAGCAUGUGGUUUAAUUCGAAGCUACGCGAAGAACCUUACCAGGUCUUGACAUACUAUGCAAAUCUAAGAGAUUAGACGUUCCCUUCGGGGACAUGGAUACAGGUGGUGCAUGGUUGUCGUCAGCUCGUGUCGUGAGAUGUUGGGUUAAGUCCCGCAACGAGCGCAACCCUUAUUAUCAGUUGCCAGCAUUAAGUUGGGCACUCUGGUGAGACUGCCGGUGACAAACCGGAGGAAGGUGGGGAUGACGUCAAAUCAUCAUGCCCCUUAUGACCUGGGCUACACACGUGCUACAAUGGAUGGUACAACGAGUUGCGAACUCGCGAGAGUAAGCUAAUCUCUUAAAGCCAUUCUCAGUUCGGAUUGUAGGCUGCAACUCGCCUACAUGAAGUCGGAAUCGCUAGUAAUCGCGGAUCAGCAUGCCGCGGUGAAUACGUUCCCGGGCCUUGUACACACCGCCCGUCACACCAUGAGAGUUUGUAACACCCAAAGUCGGUGGGGUAACCUUUUAGGAACCAGCCGCCUAAGGUGGGACAGAUGAUUAGGGUGAAGUCGUAACAAGGUAGCCGUAGGAGAACCUGCGGCUG